rnacentral:rRNA from 1 species
CCUACGUGAGGCAGCAGUGGGGAAUAUUGCACAAUGGGGGAAACCCUGAUGCAGCAACGCCGCGUGAAGGAAGACGGUUUUCGGAUUGUAAACUUCUGUUCUUAGUGAAGAAUAAUGACGGUAGCUAAGGAGCAAGCAACGGCUAACUACGUGCCAGCAGGCGCGGUAAUACGUAGGUGGCAAGCGUUGUCCGGAAUUACUGGGUGUAAAGGGAGCGCAGGCGGGGAGACAAGUGGGCUGUGAAAUAUAAGGGCUUAACUUGUAGACUGCAGUUGAAACUGGUUUUCUUGAGUGAAGUAGAGGUUGGCGGAAUUCCGAGUGUAGCAGUGAGAUGCGUAGAUAUUCGGAGGAACACCGGUGGCGAAGGCGGCCAACUGUGCUUUAACUGACGCUGAGGCUCGAAAGUGGGGGGAGCAAACAGGAUUAGAUACCCCUGUAGUC